rnacentral:rRNA from 1 species
UGGGGAAUUUUGGACAAUGGGCGAAAGCCUGAUCCAGCAAUGCCGCGUGUGUGAAGAAGGCCUUCGGGUUGUAAAGCACUUUUGUCCGGAAAGAAAUCCUUGGCUCUAAUACAGUCGGGGGAUGACGGUACCGGAAGAAUAAGCACCGGCUAACUACGUGCCAGCAGCCGCGGUAAUACGUAGGGUGCAAGCGUUAAUCGGAAUUACUGGGCGUAAAGCGUGCGCAGGCGGUUUGCUAAGACCGAUGUGAAAUCCCCGGGCUCAACCUGGGAACUGCAUUGGUGACUGGCAGGCUAGAGUAUGGCAGAGGGGGGUAGAAUUCCACGUGUAGCAGUGAAAUGCGUAGAGAUGUGGAGGAAUACCGAUGGCGAAGGCAGCCCCCUGGGCCAAUACUGACGCUCAUGCACGAAAGCGUGGGGAGCAAACAGGAUUAGAUACCCUGGUAGUCCACGCCCUAAAACGAUGUCAACUAGUUGUUGGGGAUUCAUUUCCUUAGUAACGUAGCUAACGCGUGAAGUUGACCGCCUGGGGAGUACGGUCGCAAGAUUAAAACUCAAAGGAAUUGACGGGGUCAUAGAUG